AGUGAACGCUGGCGGUAGGCCUAACACAUGCAAGUCGAACGGCAGCACAGUAAGAGCUUGCUCUUACGGGUGGCGAGUGGCGGACGGGUGAGGAAUACAUCGGAAUCUACUUUUUCGUGGGGGAUAACGUAGGGAAACUUACGCUAAUACCGCAUACGACCUACGGGUGAAAGCAGGGGAUCUUCGGACCUUGCGCGAUUGAAUGAGCCGAUGUCGGAUUAGCUAGUUGGCGGGGCAAAGGCCCACCAAGGCGACGAUCCGUAGCUGGUCUGAGAGGAUGAUCAGCCACACUGGAACUGAGACACGGUCCAGACUCCUACAGGAGGCAGCAGUGGGGAAUAUUGGACAAUGGGCGCAAGCCUGAUCCAGCCAUACCGCGUGGGUGAAGAAGGCCUUCGGGUUGUAAAGCCCUUUUGUUGGGAAAGAAAAGCAGCAGGUUAAUACCCCGCUGUUCUGACGGUACCCAAAGAAUAAGCACCGGCUAACUUCGUG
rnacentral:rRNA from 1 species